UUAUCAAAUUUAUCAAAUUUCAAGAUAUUUUUCUAGAUGAAAAUUAAUUCCUUCAAAUUUCAAAUUUUGCAAGAAAGAUUAAGUUUACAAAAGUUAAAUCCGUAGAUAGUUUUGAACUCUAAUAGCAUCCACCACACAAAAAUAAUAAAUAAACGACGAAGACUUUUCAAAGAUGGAAGUCAAGUCUUGUGAGUGUUAGAAAAAGGGUGUGCUUUCAUUCUUAUCUCUUGCAACAGUAGCGAGUGUGAGCAUUCUAUAACAUAUUCUCUGGUCAGAUUCAAGCAAGGGAACACAUUCAUCUCUCUGGAGAGUUUCUUUAAAAUAAUGGAUGACCACUUGUUUCUUUCUCGCCAAUUCUCAAUUCUCUCUCUGCAUAUUAGUUAAAUCAGGAAGAAGACAAAUUGUGAGUGUUAGAAAAAGGGUGGGCUUUCAUUUUUAUCUCUUGCAACAGUAGUGAACGUGAGCAUUCUAUAGCAAGGGAGCACUUUCAUCUCUC